GAAGCCUUCAGUCACCAGGCGGAUGUCAGAGGGAGAGGACGCACGCUCCCUGCUCCUGCCCCGCUAACUUGCCACCCCCGCCUUUAAGAGUGACUGGAUUCCUGAAUAAUUUUGUGAAUAGCCUCUAAAUUAAUACCUAGAGGAAUAUUCUACAAGACAUUAUUCACGAGACACAGAGAGAGGGAGCUGCAAAGAACCAAUAUCUAUUCUCAAGUUCCCCAGCGCGCCUACACCCCCUACACCCAACACACUCGUAGAGGCGUGGCUACAAUGAGCUCAAACGGUUCAACACGCCAGUUUUUCAGUGGCACCCCGCCUAGACGCCAAACUGGAGUAGUUCCCCCUGAAAUUCACUUAUACCCGUCACUUCAAAGGCCUAUGGAAUCCUCUAGAUAUGAGCCUAACUUCAUGCUAGGCUAUGGGAGCUAUGGGGCCUAUGGGAGCCUCCAGUACCCCAAAUAUCCCAGUGAUAUCCCCCAUAGGAACCGAGAUAUGGCAACAGAAAACGAGAUCUAUGGGAAAAGGUCGAAGGGGAAACUACUCAAUUCUGGUCUACUGCACCCUGGCACCCCGGAGCUUUCCAAGGGGCUUUCCUACGGGGACACGGACAAGGAAAAGGAGGCGGGGGUGUAUGGGGGUGUUCCUAAGGACUCCUACCCGUGGCACAUCCCAAGGGCGUCCCUCUGGUGUCUUCAUAAGGGAUACAACGGUGAUUUUUGCAAAGACUGUCAGUGGAAGCACCAAGAGAGAGGAAUAGACACAGGAUCAGACAUCGGAGCAGGAGGAGGAGGAGGAGGAGGAGGAGGAGGAGGGGACGGCGCCUCUACCUGCUCCUCCAUCAACCCUCCGCCCACGUUCACCGCCCUUGACAACUACCGGCCAGUACGCCCACGCCGCCCAAUGUGCCGCCAUUGUUCGUGUGGCAUCAUCUUUGCAAUUACAACUGUCUUCUCCCUAUUGGUUCUCGUUCUAAUAGCUGCUUUUAUCAUCUAUGUGGAAAUGGUUCUCAAGCAUCAACAACACAUGCCCAUGGAUAGAAUGUAACGAGGAGGAGGAGGAGGAGGAGGAGGAGGAGGAGGAGGAGGAGGAGGAGGAGGAGGAGGAGGAGGAGGAGGAGGAGGAGGAGGAGGAAGAGGUGGGAGGCUAACAGUGUGUGUGUGUGUGUGUGUGUGUGUGUGUGUGUGUGUGUGUGUGUGUGUGUGUGUGUGUGUGUGUGUGUGUGUGUGUGUGUGUGUGUGUGUGUGUGUGUGUGUGUGUGUGUAAAGAAGGAGUACUGGAAGAAGAACAAGAAGGAGGAGAAGAAGAAGAAGAAGAAGAAGAAGAAGAAGAAGAAGAAGAAGAAGAAGAAGAAGAAGAAGAAGAAGAAGAAGAAGAAGAAGAAGAAGAAGAAGAAGAAGAAGAAG